GUCAAUUGGUAAACCCAAACGGCGAAUACCCACAAAGAGAUUCAGAGAUUCAAGAUUCAGAUUAUUCCUAGAGUACUGGAAAAGCAAGUGAUUCGUUUCAGAAAUGCCUUUAUGAGAAAUUUCGUCGAACACCUGUUGUGCUUCCAAGGCAAAAGCAUUUGAUUGAUAGAAACAUUUGUUCUGAAGCGGAAUUUGUCUCUGAUGAAAAGAUUUAAGCCGC
rnacentral:lncRNA from 1 species